AUAUGAUGAUCCAAUUGCUGAGUAGCAACGUUACUUUUCUAGAAGACGCAAAACCAAUAGUCGUUGAUGUAGUUGUGUGCAAAGUGCAAAGUGAGACUCUUCUUUUCUUUAUACAAUGACAAAAAAGAUGAAACAAAAAGGGAUAAACUGGUUUUUAAAAGAAAAGACCUAAAACUGGUUCAACAACCGAACCAGUUGAAGAAAUCCUAAAGCCACCUAGUUCAAAUCAAACUGGUUCAAAGACAAUAUGGGGUCAAACCAAACCCGAUUCAGACUGAAUUAGUUCAUUGAACCAAACUGGUUAGACCCUAAUGGACCGAACCAAAUCACUCAAUCUCUCUGUCACUCAUAUUACCUUGUUCUCACUCAGUCUCUCACUGAUGAAAAUGAAAUGG
rnacentral:lncRNA from 1 species